CGGCAUUCAGAAAAGCUAGCGGGCCGGGGAUAGCAGAUGGGUCUUCACCGACAUCCACGACGCAGAGGCCGGUUGAGAGCACAUCGGCCGAAUUACGUCAGCAGACCAGCAGACCAGUCGUGAUGGAUUGGCGGGGCUCCGUGUCGAUAAAGGGUCCAGGCCAAUUGGCAAUAGAGAGAGAAGACAAAGAGCAUGUGCUCUUGACCACUCCCACAAGAGGUCGCCGUGUCUUGGAGCACUCCACUCUCAGCCAGCACUGCAGGAGGUGAUGGACGUGGAGGGAGUGUGCCUGGAGGAAGAGGAGGAGGAGAAGGUGAGGGAGGUCACCAUCACCCAUGGAGAGGACUCGGAGCUCAGCGUCAGUUUCCAAGGGUACGCGGCUGAGCUCCGGCAGUGCCAGAGUCGAAUGAAGACCUCCCAGGUGCCCCUCAACACCCACGAUCAAUCAGAAGGGAACGAAGACUCCAAGACUGACAUAUACAAGGCCACCAUUGUGUGAGCUCUGAGGCUGACCAACCCUCACCAGCACUUUCCAAGCUUGAUUCACGGUCUGUUCAAACAGAAACUUACUUGAUGAACAAGGGACUUUUACUGUAAAAAACUGUCGUUUUUCAUGCCAGA
ensembl:lncRNA